UACCUAUCGAGAGGGGAAUAACCCGGACGAAAGUCGGACUAAUACCGCAGUAAAACAGGGGCACCGCAUGGUGAUAUUUGUUAAAGAAAUUCGCUGAUAGAUGGGCAUGCGUUCCAUUAGGUAGUUGGUGAGUAACGGCUCACCAAGCCGACGAUGGAUAGGGGAACUGAGAGGUUGGUCCCCCACACUGGUACUGAGACACGGACCAGACUCCUACGGGAGGCAGCAGUGAGGAAUAUUGGUCAAUGGGCGGGAGCCUGAACCAGCCAAGUCGCGUGAAAAGGAAGAAGGAUCUAUGGUUCGUAAACUUCUUUUGCAGGGGAAUAAAGUGCAGGACGUGUCCUGUUUUGUAUGUACCCUGAGAAUAAGGAUCGGCUAACUCCGUGCCAGCAGCCGC
rnacentral:rRNA from 1 species